rnacentral:rRNA from 1 species
CUACGGGACGCAGCAGUGAGGAAUUUUGCGCAAUGGGGGGAACCCUGACGCAGCAACGCCGCGUGAGUGAUGAAGGCUUUCGGGUCGUAAAGCUCUGUCAAGUGGGAAGAACCUAUGCAGUGUUAAUAUCACUGUAUACUGACGGUACCACUGAAGGAAGCACCGGCUAACUCCGUGCCAGCAGCCGCGGUAAUACGGGGGGUGCAAGCGUUAUUCGGAAUCAUUGGGCGUAAAGGGCACGUAGGCGGCUUGGUAAGUCAGAUGUGAAAGCCCGGGGCUUAACCCCGGAAGUGCAUUUGGUACUGUCAGGCUUGAGUAUGGGAGAGGGAAGUGGAAUUCCUGGUGUAGAGGUGAAAUUCGUAGAUAUCAGGAGGAACACCGGUGGCGAAGGCGACUUCCUGGACCAAUACUGACGCUGAGGUGCGAAGGCGUGGGUAGCAAACAGGAUUAGAUACCCUAGUAGUC